AGUCGUUCGUCUGCGUGAGCUCUACUACUUAGUAUUGUUUUUGGAGGAUCGUGAGAUUAACACAGUGCCGGCAG
rfam:Tsutu virus strain Spain MB119/06, complete genome